AACAGGGAAGCUUGCUUCCGCUGACGACCGGCGCACGGGUGCGUAACGCGUAUGAAACCUACCUUAUACCGGGGGAUAGCCCGAAGAAAUUCGGAUUAAUACCGCAUAAUAUAAUGAAGUGGCAUCAUUUUGUUAUUAAAACUCCGGUGGUAUAAGAUGGUCAUGCGUGACAUUAGCUAGUUGGUGAGGUAACGGCUCACCAAGGCGACGAUGUCUAGGGGUUCUGAGAGGAAGGUCCCCCACACUGGUACUGAGACACGGACCAGACUCCUACGGGAGGCAGCAGUGAGGAAUAUUGGUCAAUGGACGCAAGCCUGAACCAGCCAUGUCGCGUGCAGGAAGACUGCCCUAUGGGUUGUAAACUGCUUUUAUAUGGGAAGAAUGUGAUCUACGUGUAGAUUUUCGACGGUACCAUAUGAAUAAGCACCGGCUAACUCCGUGCCAGCAGCCGCGGUAAUACGGAGGGUGCAAGCGUUAUCCGGAUUCAUUGGGUUUAAAGGGUGCGUAGGCGGAAUAGUAAGUCAGAGGUGAAAGUUUGCGGCUCAACCGUAAAAUUGCCUUUGAUACUGUUAUUCUUGAGUACAUUUGAGGUAGGCGGAAUGUGGCGU
rnacentral:rRNA from 1 species